CCUACGGGAGGCAGCAGUGGGGGAUAUUGCACAAUGGGGGAAACCCUGAUGCAGCGACGCCGCGUGAGUGAAGAAGUAUUUCGGUAUGUAAAGCUCUAUCAGCAGGGAAGAAAAUGACAGUACCUGACCAAGAAGCCCCGGCUCACUACGUGCCAGCAGCCGCGGUAAUACGUAGGGGGCAAGCGUUAUCCGGAUUUACUGGGUGUAAAGGGAGCGUAGACGGUUAUGCAAGUCUGAAGUGAAAGCCCAAGGCUCAACCAUGGGACUGCUUUGGAAACUGUAAAACUUGAGUGCAGGAGAGGUAAGCGGAAUUCCUAGUGUAGCGGUGAAAUGCGUAGAUAUUAGGAGGAACACCAGUGGCGAAGGCGGCUUACUGGACUGUAACUGACGUUGAGGCUCGAAGGCGUGGGGAGCAAACAGGAUUAGAUACCCUAGUAGUC
rnacentral:rRNA from 1 species